CUGGCGGCAUGCCUAACACAUGCAAGUCGAACGGAAACGAUGGAAGCUUGCUUCCAGGCGUCGAGUGGCGGACGGGUGAGUAAUACUUAGGAAUCUGCCCAUUAGUGGGGGACAACUCGGGGAAACUCGAGCUAAUACCGCAUACGCCCUACGGGGGAAAGCGGGGGAUCUUCGGACCUCGCGCUAAUGGAUGAGCCUAAGUCGGAUUAGCUUGUUGGUGAGGUAAAGGCUCACCAAGGCGACGAUCCGUAGCUGGUCUGAGAGGACGAUCAGCCACACUGGGACUGAGACACGGCCCAGACUCCUACGGGAGGCAGCAGUGGGGAAUAUUGGACAAUGGGGGAAACCCUGAUCCAGCAAUGCCGCGUGUGUGAAGAAGGCCUGCGGGUUGUAAAGCACUUUCAGUAGAGAAGAAAAGCCUAUGGUUAAUAACCGUGGGUCUUGACGUUACCUACAGAAGAAGCUCCGGCUAACUCCGUGCCAGCAGCCGCGGUAAUACGGAGGGAGCGAGCGUUAAUCGGAAUUACUGGGCGUAAAGCGCGCGUAGGCGGCUUUGUAAGUCGGAUGUGAAAGCCCUGGGCUCAACCUGGGAAUUGCAUUCGAAACUGCAUGGCUAGAGUAUGGUAGAGGGAAGUGGAAUU
rnacentral:rRNA from 1 species